AGUAAAUUGGUUAAGUUAGAAAGGGCGCACGGUGGAUGCCUUGGCACUAGGAGCCGAAGAAGGACGGGACUAACACCGAUAUGCUUUGGGGAGCUGUACGUAAGC
rnacentral:rRNA from 1 species